CUUCUAGGACACAGUCUAGCUGCGUAGCUCCAAGGGGAUGGUGACAGUGGUGAUCACUCACAGCACCGUCACCGUGCUGGAGAAUCAACAGUGGAUAGAAGGGAACGUUAAAAUGCCAUCUGGAAGUGGUGCUGUUGUGCCUUUGGCUAAGGUUUUGGGAUACGUUAACACUGCUGUUGAAAGAUCAAACGUCACUGCUCCCCUCACUACCUGUUUUCUUUGUCAGUACUAGCCUUAGUGUGGUUCUGUUAUGAAUUGAGUUGAAGAACUGAUCUGAGCUAAUGUGAUUUGGCAAAGGAAUUAAUGGUUAAUUUUCAACCCAGAAUAGCUUUCUGAAUCAUCCUGCUGAGAAUGUUUCUCCUCUCGCAUGGAAAGUGUUGACUUUAGGGGCAUAAGUGAGUGAUGGAAGAGGAUAGACUAUUUUUAUCGUCAGUGUCAGCUUAUAUAAUUUUAACAUGAUUGUGAAAUUACUGUCUUAACUAAGGAGGACUUGUCACCCCAUGUUUUCAUCAUAACUUUGAAAUGUAUUUAAUGGGCUUUAUUUCAGAUCUUAGUGAUCAAUACACAAUAAUUCCUAGAAUCACCUGCAAGGAGCUCCUGUGGUCUGCUUAGUAAGUACCUAAUUAAAGACAAUUGUAAAUGUGUUCCUUACACUGUGAUUUGCAGCAGGUCCUGCUUAACCAUCUCUGAAGGUGUUGUAAACGUUCUGAGCCCCUAAGAAUGUUGUUUUCCUCUCUUGCAAUUGAUAAGAAACUGCUAAUUAUUUGUGGCCAAGUUUUUUUUAGACAUAUAAUUUUGGCUUUUUUUCUUGCCUACUGUGCUUUUGUAGUAGCAUGCCUUGAAGUAAUAGUGUUAAGGUUUAUUUGCAUCUAUUUUCUAUUGUUUUGUAUUAUUGUUGUCUUAUGUUUCAGGCUGUGUAGCACUUCUUAGAGAAAAGAUUAAGGACUGUGAAUCUGUUUGGAAUUGGCUUAAUCUUAUUCUUGGUGGUGUCAAUAAACUUUGCUUCUGCCCUUAAACAC